ACGCGCGGAACCUUACCAGGGCUUGACAUCCUGCUGACAGGACCUUAACCGGUCCCUUCUUCGGACAGCAGAGACAGGUGGUGCAUGGUUGUCGUCAGCUCGUGUCGUGAGAUGUUGGGUUAAGUCCCGCAACGAGCGCAACCCUUGUCGCUAGUUACUAACAUUCAGUUGAGGACUCUAGCGAGACUGCCGAGGUCAACUCGGAGGAAGGUGGGGAUGACGUCAAAUCAUCAUGCCCCUUAUGUUCUGG
rnacentral:rRNA from 1 species